rnacentral:rRNA from 1 species
UGCCAGCAGGCCGCGGUAAUACGUAGGGUGCAAGCGUUAUCCGGAAUUAUUGGGCGUAAAGAGCUCGUAGGCGGUUUGUCGCGUCUGCUGUGAAAUCCCGAGGCUCAACUUCGGGCUUGCAGUGGGUACGGGCAGACUAGAGUGCGGUAGGGGAGAUUGGAAUUCCUGGUGUAGCGGUGGAAUGCGCAGAUAUCAGGAGGAACACCGAUGGCGAAGGCAGAUCUCUGGGCCGUAACUGACGCUGAGGAGCGAAAGGGUGGGGAGCAAACAGGCUUAGAUACCCUGGUAGUCCACCCCGUAAACGUUGGGAACUAGUUGUGGGGUCCUUUCCACGGAUUCCGUGACGCAGCUAACGCAUUAAGUUCCCCGCCUGGGGAGUACGGCCGCAAGGCUAAAACUCAAAGGAAUUGACGGGGACCCGCACAAGCGGCGGAGCAUGCGGAUUAAUUCGAUGCAACGCGAAGAACCUUACCAAGGCUUGACAUACACCAGAACACCCUGGAAACAGGGGACUCUUUGGACACUGGUGAACAGGUGGUGCAUGGUUGUCGUCAGCUCGUGUCGUGAGAUGUUGGGUUAAGUCCCGCAACGAGCGCAACCCUCGUUCUAUGUUGCCAGCACGUAAUGGUGGGAACUCAUGGGAUACUGCCGGGGUCAACUCGGAGGAAGGUGGGGAUGACGUCAAAUCAUCAUGCCCCUUAUGUCUUGGGCUUCACGCAUGCUACAAUGGCCGGUACAAUGGGCUGCGAUACCGUAAGGUGGAGCGAAUCCCAAAAAGCCGGUCCCAGUUCGGAUUGAGGUCUGCAACUCGACCUCAUGAAGUCGGAGUCGCUAGUAAUCGCAGAUCAGCAGCGCUGCGGUGAAUACGUUCCCGGGUCCUAUAUACACCGCCCGUCACCCUCAGUAAGUCUUACCAGCUAGAUUUCGAUCCUGCUCACUAAGGAGUACAAGUAGGCUAGAGUGGCC